GUAAUGCUCUGUUUAGUUGAAAUGUUUGGGCUAUAAUUAUUGAUAAUGGAGGAACUAACCAAUGGAAGUGAUGUUAUUCUCUCUGUAUGUGUGGGAACCUGCAGUCAGUGCACGGGCUUUUCGGGAGGAGAACCGAAGAGGAAGGAGGUGCUGGACGCGCUCUGGUCGACCACUGAGGUUGGUCCCAGGCAGCGGGUCGAGGAGGUCGGAGAAGAUCAAAUGGUGGACAGAAGGCCUUGAUAAUUGAGCUCCAACGGUUGUGCACAAACUGAUUGAACUCUGAUAAGUUUUGGCGCCCUUUUCUUUCUUUUUAUAUUGUAUCGCUAUUAAUUACCUAGUUCCAGUAAGAUUUAUAAAGUGUAAUCUGUAAAACGUACAUUGUGUGCCAUUUGAUAUUAUAUGUGUGAGUUUGUACCAGCGUGCAUUACACAGCAUCUACGCAAACGGGAGACAAGGUUUGGUGGGUGGACGGAUUUUCCCCUAGACAAACACAAGCUGAUAGCCCUAAGCAUUACAUAUUUGUAGAGCAAUUUUGCCUGUACUGUAAAUGGUACAAUAGUUUUGUGUCAUUUAUAUAGAUAAAUAAAUCCCAGGUGAAUAUCCAGAGAUUACCAUCUAUACAUAAGGCUAGUGAGUUUAGGGAAAACUUUGUUGCUUACUCUGCAGGAAUGCUUAGACGUGUAAUGUAGCCAUUAUAUUCUGUAGUCUAAAAUACUGUAUUGAUUCUGGAUUACAUCCUUAACCCACUUUUACUUGAACAGCUGGUUUUAUCAUCACUUCCUAUUUAACUCAAUUUAUCUAGUGAUUUUGAGCAGUUUGUUAUUUGUCCUCAGUCACUGACUUCCAUAAAAACCUUCUUGUUUUCACAUUUAUAGCCAUUCUGUUACCUCAACUCAGUUUUUCAUUAACUCGCAUCCGGUUCCUCAAUCACAUCAAACCACAGUGUUCCAACAGCCCGUUUGUGAUCCUCCACUGAAAGUGUCUCCAGAAUGAUGCCUACUUGUUAUUCUGAAUAAAGACGUCUAUAUCACCAGCUUCGGUGUCCCUACAGUGACUUCAGUCUGGAGAGAGGCAAUUCAGGAUUGUGGCAGGUUUAACUAGAAAGGAUUGAAGGUAGUGGAGAAGGAAAGGUCAGUGCCUUUAAGCCGUUCUGUUUCGUGAAUUCUUCGUGGGAAGUUCGACGUCGGGGAUCGAAGCAAGUGACGUGAAAGAGAACCUAAAUCGUCCUAUAAAGUCUCUCCUUUUAAAUGGACUGUGAGCAUAUUGAACUUUUGGCAAUACCACUUUAAAGAACUGUUUUUGCAAUACCACUUUACGAACUGUUUGAA